rnacentral:rRNA from 1 species
CGUUCCCGGGCCUUGUACACACCGCCCGUCACACCAUGGGAGUUGGUUUUACCUGAAGACGGUGUUCUAACCCGCAAGGGAGGAAGCCGGCCACGGUAAGGUCAGCGACGUGGGGUGAAGUCGUAACAACGGUACC